rnacentral:lncRNA from 1 species
GUGCUUUCUCACAGAAAGCAUUAUAACCUGCACAUCAUUUGGCAAUUUUACAUGUAGAUUCAGUGACAUACAGCACACUUGGCUUACAAUCUGUAACCGUAAGGAAAUGAGGGGUUGUUCUCUUUUUUGCUGUCACCUGUUCUUUUAAGAGAUCGGAAGUUACCCUGACCAAAACCAAAAAGGGCUGCUUGAGCCAUUUGAUUAAAAAUUGAAUCAAUUGUGACGUGUGACUGAUCAAACCCUUAAGAGAAUCUCUAAAAUAAACAUAUAAACGAGCUUAAAAAGAAAGGCUACAUUGAAAGAGACAAGAAUCUUUUAACAACUGAAUGCACUCAAUAAAGCAGAUCAAGUUGCUUUAUCGAGGAAUCUUGAUUCCUAGUUCAAUUUCUAUGUUAUCUUUGGGCAACUUUUGAUCCAUAGUUUGACUGAAGCUUGCCUUUCCCGUCAUUUCAUUUCACCUUGGACAACAAUUAUUGUUUCUGACUAAUGUUGACCAAACCGCCAUGUCGUUGCAAAGCAGCAACCGAUUCGCCACAUCAGGGGCAACAGAAAGAUGGAGCAGCGGAGCACCGUGUUUGAAGACAGUAGUAACAGUAGCGGUAUAGUGACAGAGAUACAUAUAACCUCACAGAACAGCAGUUACUAACAUGAUACUGAAAAGUAGAAAACAGAACACAAAUGACGUCAAGUCGUCAACCCAAAUGGAUGACAAGAUGAAGGCACAAGCAAGAUUAUCCCCUCUGCAAUAUCUAAAGAUACAAUUGCCUUAAUAGUGGACUGACUACAAUAGAUAUUUCUGUUAAGUCAUCUAAACUAGUUUUGUACAUGACAACUUGGUUAUACUUGGUAGUUUGUAUAGGUAUCAGAUCUAUCUUGAUGUUCCCAUCUUUUCAUACGUUGAUCGUUGAUUGGGUAAAGUUCCCGACUCUAUCUGGAAAUGAAUUGGAGAGAAAAAAGUUUUCUAGUUCCCCUUCUUCAAUUGAAAAUUUAACUAGCUCCAAGAUUUGAAUGCCAUGGUUGUCUAUAAAACACUGGAUAUGAAGUUUAUUUUAAAGGACAAGAGGGGUUGCUCUGACGGUAAGCAACCCUCACUUCCAACCGAGAGGUUGUGAGUUCGA